rnacentral:rRNA from 1 species
CUAGAUCUGAGUAUAUCAAUAUUACCUUGUUCAGAACUUAAAGAGAAAUCUUGAGUUUAUGGACUUCAGGGGGAGUAUGGUCACAAGGCUGAAACUUAAAGGAAUUGACGGAAGGGCACACCAGGAGUGGAGCCUGCGGCUUAAUUUGACUCAACACGGGAAAACUUACCAAGACCGAACAGUAGAAGGAAUGACAGAUUAAGAGUUCUUUCAUGAUUUAUUGGGUAGUGGUGCAUGGCCGUUCUUAGUUGGUGGAGUGAUUUGUCAGGUUAAUUCCGGUAACGAACGAGACUGAAACCUAUUAAUUAGUUUUCUGCCUAUAAGACAGAAAUGUUCGCAAGAACAGGUGCGUAAGUACCACUUCUUAAAGGGACACAUUUCAAUUGUCCUAUUUUAAUUGUAGUUAUCUAAUUUCGG